GGGCCCUUGCUGCCACCGCGUGCGUCCCAGUCGCUGAGCCCUGAAGGCAGUCGCCCCCAUCUCUUUCUGUGCCCCGACGAUGGGCUGUGUCCGGCCAAGACGAUCGGCGGCACGCGGAGCCAGAUCUUGCUCCGUCGUGGUCGCUGUCUGACCCGAUCAGGGCUCCACAGAGAGAGAAAAAGGGGAAUGAGGAGAAGAAGAAACAGACAAAGAAAGCACAGACAAGGAAGAAGAAGAAGAAGAAGAAGAAGAAGAAGAAGAAGAAGAAGAAGAUGAUGAUGAUGAUGAUGAUGAUGAAGGAGAAGAGAGGAGGAGGUGGUGGGAGAGAGAUAGGAGCGAGGCGAGUGUUGCCAGGCUUGGGGGAUUUCCG
rnacentral:lncRNA from 1 species